rnacentral:rRNA from 1 species
CUACGGGUGGCAGCAGUGGGGAAUAUUGCACAAUGGGCGCAAGCCUGAUGCAGCCAUGCCGCGUGUAUGAAGAAGGCCUUCGGGUUGUAAAGUACUUUCAGCGGGGAGGAAGGGAGUAAAGUUAAUACCUUUGCUCAUUGACGUUACCCGCAGAAGAAGCACCGGCUAACUCCGUGCCAGCAGCCGCGGUAAUACGGAGGGUGCAAGCGGUAAUCGGAAUUACUGGGCGUAAAGCGCACGCAGGCGGUUUGUUAAGUCAGAUGUGAAAUCCCCGGGCUCAACCUGGGAACUGCAUCUGAUACUGGCAAGCUUGAGUCUCGUAGAGGGGGGUAGAAUUCCAGGUGUAGCGGUGAGAUGCGUAGAGAUCUGGAGGAAUACCGGUGGCGAAGGCGGCCCCCUGGACGAAGACUGACGCUCAGGUGCGAAAGCGUGGGGAGCAAACAGGAUUAGAUACCCCCGUAGUC